UCAAACUUGGUCAUUUAGAGGAAGUAAAAGUCGUAACAAGGUUUCCGUAGGUGAACCUGCGGAAGGAUCAUUACCGAGUUAGGGUCUCAAGGCCCGACCUCCCAACCCUCUGUCUAAUUACUACUUGUUGCUUCGGCGGGCCCGUCUCUAUGACCGCCGGGGAACCCUUACCGGUUCUCUGGCCCGCGCCCGCCGACAGCCCCUAAUUGAACUCUGGAAAAACAUGUCGUGUCCUGAAAAUACCAAUUGAAUAUUAAAGCAAAACUUUCAACAACGGAUCUCUUGGUUCUGGCAUCGAUGAAGAACGCAGC
rnacentral:misc_RNA from 1 species